AUCCAGGUCGUUCGUAUAGCCAAUGGUAGAUAGAGUCCCCUUUCCCAAUAAGGUGAUUGGGCAAUAGGUGAUUCCGCUUGUUCAUUUGAUUGGCUUUUCCUUUUGUCAUUCAAACAAAUGAAACAGCAGGUUUGCGUUCAGUAUGGUUUUAAGUUCUGGAACGCUCAAUUGAACGGAAACGGUGCUGGACUGAAUGACCAGGUGAAGAACGCGGAUGGGUUUGUGUCAUACUGUACUGUAUUUGGUUGGGGGACGCCGUCCGCACUGCUCUUUAAAACACUCAAUACUUCAAGCCACACCCACCAAACGUGCCUCAAAGUCUGCUCAAGAACGUUGUGGGUAAACGUGUCGUUGAGUACAAACCGUUCCGCAACGUAGAAAACGUUCAAGGGAACUGAACGCAUCUCAGGCCUGUCCAAAGAAACGCGAGAGAAAGACAGCGCCCAGUCUGUCUCACGUGGACCACUGAAGGUGCCUCUUCUAAGGAGAUCCCUCUCCAUCACUGGGGUACUGGUUGCAUCUAUAGGCGCUGUUCUCUUAAGGUUGUUAGCCUGCCAUCAGAGUGUCUCCAUCUGCCUCAUGCAUGCUACCUGACAAUCAAACAGUUGAGAUGACCGUGUCUGUUUUGGGAAUUACUGGUUGGACCAGAUGCCAGACUACAGGGCAAUGACUGUGUCCUGUUUGGAGGAGAGCAGCUCCAGAGCUGUGGCCAUCCUUCCCAGGGACUCUGCCAUGCACACCUCCCUCCUCUCGGACCUCCUCCCCUGGGCCUCUGCCCUGCUGCGACAGACCUGCUCCUCCUCGG